AGUGAACGCUGGCGGUAGGCCUAACACAUGCCAGUCGAACGGCAGCACAGUAAGAGCUUGCUCUUACGGGUGGCGAGUGGCGGACGGGUGAGGAAUACAUCGGAAUCUACUUUUUCGUGGGGGAUAACGUAGGGAAACUUACGCUAAUACCGCAUACGACCUACGGGUGAAAGCAGGGGAUCUUCGGACCUUGCGCGAUUGAAUGAGCCGAUGUCGGAUUAGCUAGUUGGCGGGGUAAAGGCCCACCAAGGCGACGAUCCGUAGCUGGUCUGAGAGGAUGAUCAGCCACACUGGAACUGAGACACGGUCCAGACCCCUACGGGAGGCAGCAGUGGGGAAUAUUGGACAAUGGGCGCAAGCCUGAUCCAGCCAUACCGCGUGGGUGAAGAAGGCCUUCGGGUUGUAAAGCCCUUUUGUUGGGAAAGAAAAGCAGCAGGUUAAUACCCCGCUGUUCUGACGGUACCCAAAGAAUAAGCACCGGCUAACUUCGUG
rnacentral:rRNA from 1 species